GGGGAGGAGCGUUGCCAUGUGUUCGUGUAACAUGGAGGGAGAGCUGUUCUUCAGCGUGCACUGGAAGAACAUCGAGCCAUUUGCCCAGUUACAGAAAUUGAAGCAAAGGAAGGUGAUGAUGUCAUCCUCCAGUUUCAUGUGGAUCCCCCUGUCAACCUGUCUGCGUUCACCAUGGAUUGGUCAAGAACCAACCCGAGUGUGGUCGUCUACUCCUAUCGACACCAACAGGAGUCACAUAACGCAGAGAUGAAUGCAACAGUCAGACGUGAAGACCUGAACAGAGGAAAUCUGACACUGUGGAUCCCCUCAGUACAGAUGUCCCACAGUGGAAAAUACACAGGCUUCGUUAUGGACCUCGGGAUCAAGUGUAGUGUUCAACUUAAUGUAACAAAAGACAAACUGAAAAAGCAAAAGGGGCAUGAUGACUUAAGCACAACUGGAGCUCCUCUCAACACGACGGUGGAGAAAGUCGGUCCACGUGGUGACAUGAUGCUGAUCAUUGGGAUUGUUCUUUCUUGCGGCAUCACUCUUCUCUUGAUGAUUGUUGUUCUGGGAUUGCUUGGAAAGCUCAAGGGAUUUGUGAGAUGGUGCCGAGGAGGAACCAGCCACCAAAUGAUGAUCCCACUGAAAAUUAAACCAUCUUAUGAAAUUUAGCAGAAUGCAGUGAUUAACAAAUCAUGUGCUGCCAAUAAGAGAGAGGGAACUUUAAAAAAGGAUUUUAUAUGUGUAAGGAAAACACUUAGCUGUAAAAGAGGUAUUACAUGUGAACACAAUGACUCUAGAACAAGAUGACAAAGUGAUACCAGAGGUGCAUCUCAGAUGAGUUUGAAUCUCUGUGACCUUGUCCUUAACCUCCUAAGACCCAAAGUCUUUCAUGUCAUGCAUUUUUAAUUUCUCUUUGCUAUUUGGGCUGAUUGAGACCUGAUGAAUGUAAAAACAAAGAAUUUUUUAUUUUUUUAUUUUAUUUUUUUUUUUUUUUACCUGAUGUAGUUUCUGAGAAGAGGAUAUCAGGCCUUGUACAGCAAAAUUUAGUAAUUGUAGUCUAGACCAGAGGUUCCCAAAGUGUGGGGCCAGC
ensembl:lncRNA